rnacentral:ncRNA from 2 species
UUCUUAUCAAGAGAGAUGGAGGGACUGGCCCGAUGAAAUCUCAGCAACAGGCUAUAUCAAAGUACUGUGCUAACUCCAGCGAACGCAAUAGGCGUUUGAAAGAUGAGGA